AUGGGCAGCACGGAAUCCCCAACGCCCGUGCAUGCUCCUGUGUGCUCGAUUGUGAACGAAGGCCCAGCAGCUCCUGCCACUGACCCGAAGCCGAAGAAGAAGAUAUGCUGCGCUUUCCCUGACACCAAGAGGUUCAGAGAUGAGUGCAUCGUCGAGUACGGGGAGUCUGCGUGCACCAAAUGGAUCGAAGCUCACAGGCAAUGCCUCCGUGCCGAGGGGUUCAAGGUCUGA
rnacentral:rRNA from 1 species